rnacentral:rRNA from 1 species
UACGUAGGUGGCAAGCGUUGUCCGGAUUUACUGGGCGUAAAGAGCGCGCAGGCGGUCGUUCAAGUCGCGUGUGAAAGCCCCCGGCUCAACUGGGGAGGGUCACGCGAUACUGAUCGACUCGAAGGCAGGAGAGGGAAGUGGAAUUCCCGGUGUAGUGGUGAAAUGCGUAGAUAUCGGGAGGAACACCAGUGGCGAAGGGCGACUUCCUGGCCUGUUCUUGACGCUGAGGCGCGAAAGCUAGGGGAGCAACGGGAGUUAAGAAACCCCAUGAGAACCAGUCGACGACCAACG